rnacentral:rRNA from 1 species
GACGAACGCUGGCGGCGUGCUUAACACAUGCAAGUCGAACGAUGAAGCCGGAGCUUGCUCUGGUGAAUUAGUGGCGAACGGGUGAGUAACACGUGAGUAACCUGCCCUUGACUCUGGGAUAACUGCGGGAAACUGUAGCUACUACCGGAUACGACCCUCGGAGGCAUCUCCUGGGGGUGGAAAGAAUUUCGGUCAAGGAUGGACUCGCGGCCUAUCAGCUAGUUGGUGGGGUAAAGGCUCACCAAGGCGACGACGGGUAGCCGGCCUGAGAGGGUGACCGGCCAAACUGGGACUGAGACACGGCCCAGACUCCUACGGGAAGCAGCAGUGGGGAAUAUUGCACAAUGGGCGCAAGCCUGAUGCAGCAACGCCGCGUGAGGGAUGACGGCCUUCGGGUUGUAAACCUCUUUUAGCAGGGAAGAAGCGAAAGUGACGGUACCUGCAGAAAAAGCACCGGCUAACUACGUGCCAGCCGCCGCGGUAA